UAGGGAAUCUUGCGCAAUGGGGGCAACCCUGACGCAGCUACGCCGCGUGGGCGAUGAAGCUCUUCGGAGCGUAAAGCCCUGUCAGGAGGGAAGAACUUGUCACCGGCCUAAUACGUCGGAGACGUGACGGUACCUCCGGAGGAAGCUCCGGCUAACUCCGUGCCAGCAGCCGCGGUAAUACGGGGGGAGCGAGCGUUGUUCGGAAUUACUGGGCGUAAAGGGCGCGUAGGCGGAUUCGGAAGUCAAGCGUGAAAACUCUCGGCUCAACCGAGAGCCUGCGCCUGAAACUCCGGAUCUUGAGUACAGAAGAGGAGAGUGGAAUUCCUGGUGUAGCGGUGAAAUGCGUAGAUAUCAGGAAGAACACCUGUGGCGAAGGCGGCUCUCUGGUCUGAUACUGACGCUGAGGCGCGAAAGCGUGGGGAGCAAACAGGAUUAGAUACCCUGGUAGUCCACGCCGUAAACGAUGGGCACUAGGUGUUGGGGGUAUCGAUCCCCUCAGUGCCGAAGUUAACGCAUUAAGUGCCCCGCCUGGGGAGUACGACCGCAAGGUUG
rnacentral:rRNA from 1 species